UACGUAGGGGGCUAGCGUUGUCCGGAAUCAUUGGGCGUAAAGAGCGUGUAGGCGGCCCGUUAAGUCCGCUGUGAAAGUCGGGGGCUCAACCCUCGAAUGCCGGUGGAUACUGUCGGGCUAGAGUGCGGAAGAGGCGAGUGGAAUUCCUGGUGUAGCGGUGAAAUGCGCAGAUAUCAGGAGGAACACCAAUUGUGAAGGCAGCUCGCUGGGACGUAACUGACGCUGAGACGCGAAAGCGUGGGGAGCAAACAGG
rnacentral:rRNA from 1 species